AUUUUUGCACUUUGGGCAAUGACGCAGCUAAUGAGGUUAUAACCGAAGCAUGUCUAUUGCUGGUUGAAAAUUAGCAUUAAUAUUA